UACGAAGGGGGGCUAGCGUUGCUCGGAAUCACUGGGCGUAAAGCGCACGUAGGCGGCUUUUUAAGUCAGGGGUGAAAUCCUGGAGCUCAACUCCAGAACUGCCUUUGAUACUGAGAGCUUGAGUUCGGGAGAGGUGAGUGGAACUGCGAGUGUAGAGGUGAAAUUCGUAGAUAUUCGCAAGAACACCAGUGGCGAAGGCGGCUCACUGGCCCGAUACUGACGCUGAGGUGCGAAAGCGUGGGGAGCAAACAGG
rnacentral:rRNA from 1 species